UGUACGUACAAGCAGUGGGAGCACAGGUUUACCUGUGUGACUGCGUACCUUUUGUAUAAUGGGUCAGCGACUUAUAUUCUGUAGCAAGGUUAACCGAAUAGGGGAGCCGGAGGGAAACCGAGUCUUAACUGGGCGUUAAGUUGCAGGGUAUAGACCCGAAACCCGGUGAUCUAGCCAUGGGCAGGUUGAAGGUUGGGUAACACUAACUGGAGGACCGAACCGACUAAUGUUGAAAAAUUAGCGGAUGACCUGUGGCUGGGGGUGAAAGGCCAAUCAAACCGGGAGAUAGCUGGUUCUCCCCGAAAGCUAUUUAGGUAGCGCCUCGUGAACUCAUCUCCGGGGGUAGAGC
rnacentral:rRNA from 1 species